GAGCUUCGGUGAGAAUGUAAUUUUGCUCUCUCGAUUAUACGUGGAGAAAUAUUACGUGACUCAUCAUCUUCAUUAAUUACUAUCGUCAUCAUGCAAUAUUGGGAGCACGCAAAUACAAAAGGAUUGGUACGAUAAAGAAUAAAGAUAUUCGAAUUGCUGUAUGGUGCGUAGAAAGGGUCUGUUGUACCCUUGAUCAGGAAAAUUGAUCUACAUUGUUUGAUUAUCCGGAAAAAAGGGAGGAGAGAAAAAUUUCAUACAUGGCAAAGUAAUUGAAACCUCAUGACUGUGAUCAAGUCCGACAAAUAUGGGACACAUGCGUUCUAAAAUGCAAUAUUGCAUACCCACCGUAAGGCUCGUUGGUGUGCGUAUACGGAAGCUGCGAUUUUUCAAUUGUAUACGUCAUGCAGAAUAAUAUUCAUUGCAUCAUGAUUGUUACGUGAUACAGUCUCGAAGCGAAAUCCGCGAAUCCAGCUUCCUUAAUCAAUUGUAACGAGAGAGAAUACAAAAAAAAAUAUGAUUUUUUCUUACCAGCCACAGCAAAGACGCUACAGACGUGCUCGGUAGAAACCAGAAACAUACAGUCGUGCGCGACUGCCGCUAUUACAUUUAUCUCUAGGCUCACAGAAGCGUGGAAGAGAAUGUAGAAGUAAUAUUUUUCGCCAUUCACGAAGUAAUACCCCUCGUAAGGCAUGGGAAUGGGUCGGGAUUCGUUGAGGGGGUAACAUAACGUUUAAUACUUGAGGUACAAGGCUAUUUGAUAGAAAACAGAUGACACCCGCGUACCCAACGACUGCAACAAAACGAAAUAAUUGCCAGCGUUGUCAUUCCUUAAAAUAAAAAUAAUAUUGAUUUAGUCUUACAGCAAUAUAUCAAAGAUAACAGUCUCGCACGAGCUGCAUGCGCUUUCAUAAUUUUGUAUUCUUCCGCGCCUUUCAGCUUCUCCCAGUCGUUAAACAGAUGAUCAAUGGAACUUUUGAUCUAAAAAUAUCGACGAAUAAAAACGCUAAAUCUCAUUAAAUAGCUCACCGAAGAUCGUAAGAGACUGCAAUCGCAAAGAAUAAUCAUUUUUCGAUGAAUGUAUAAUAUAAAUUUCAGUAAUGGCAUACUUUGCUACUGUUAAACUGGCACGAAUAUAACUUCACAAAAACCACAACUAUAAACAGAAUCGCCGGUACGACUAUCACAAUACAUCGCACGUCUCCGUUGCAUUGAAUAAAUUUGCCCACCUAGAAAUAUCGUCAUAUCUCACAUCUCACAGACAAUCCAUAACUUACGUUCAGUUUCUUUCAUACCUGAUUAAAAUUAUAUUUAUAAUUUUAUGUGCAAUGUACUUUGAUAUUUGCAUACAUUUUAAUAUACAUUUUAUAUGGAUUUCAUGAAAUCAUAAAUGGAGUUUAAUCCUAAUUUUUUUUAAUUUUAUGUAUUGUCUAAAGCGAGCAUAACAGAUGUAGACUGUGUUGCCUUGCAUAUUUUAAUCAAUUCCUUUAUGCAUAGUAUUGGCUAUUACACUUAGAACUAGUAUAACGGAUAUUACAGUGAAGAAAAAAGCUUGUUCUACAACCAUUGGAACGGUCACCGAAAGAAUGGCCACAGUCAAUGGCCUCGGCGACACAAAGUGGACUAAAUUUCUCGUCUCGUUUUGCCUUUGUGAGAGAUUAAUAUUUCAGCGGGCAUACCCUUAAACAAAAAAGUUGAUAAACUUGUUUCAAUAAACUGAUUACUGAUCACUAACUGAUUAUAUUUCGUCAGUUAACUGAGAAAAUAUCAUCAGUUACUGAUCAGUAAUCAGUUUAUUGAAACAAGUUUAUCAACUUUUUUUUCAAGGGUAAUAACAAGCAGAUAAAUAGACGUAAGUCAGAAGUGCUUGACCAUCUCGGAUAUUGUAAAAAAUGAACGCGAAUGGUGGCCUGUCAACGAACAAGACGAUUUUCUUUCUUGUGCGACAUAUGGUCGGAAUAUUCAAGAGAAUACUUCCGACACUGUGCGUCCAUAUACUUAAUUAUUGUUAGCUGUAAGAUAAACGCUAUGGUGUCUGUCAUCCUGUAUGUACAUACAUAUGCAUCCUGUAUAUCGUUGGAUAAAUGCUACGUUCAAUACUAUUGCGUGACUAACGACCCGUGUGGCACUCCAGUUUCUUGUGGAACCAAUUGGCAGAAAUGGCUCUUUUUUCACCUCGUUUCAGUAUAAAAAUACAUUAGGACACUUUACAAAAUAAAAUACUUAUAUUUCGAAAAGUAUCAAAGAUAUAUAAAUGCUUCUGUUACGUCCUGCGUAAUAACAAUUCUUUUCUUUCAAGCGGAUACACCGUUGUUCGACAGAAAGAUACGCAUAAGCUCUCCCACCAAACGCUAAAGCCAAGGCGUUGAUAUACUCGAGUACGCAGCUCUUUCGGCUUCCAGAAACUCAGCCUACACUACAAUAAAUCACUCUAAAAAUUGAUAUUCUCUGCAGUUUGCUAACGAGUCACCUACGCUCUUUACCGAGAAGCCUACUGUCAAAAAGAAAUUAUGAGGUUCCUUAAGUAGACGGAGUUCUUUGACGCCUGACACGUGUUUGGUCGGCGAAGCGUUAGAGACAAAAUACGUUAUUAAAUCGAAACUCGUGGAAGAGCGCGUAGGCGUUACAAUAAAUAAAAUCAGUGCACACGACCCUAAGAAUCAUCGGCCAAAACUAGUAUAAAUAAGCAGCCUUUCUAAGCGGGACGGGCAUUCCUUCUUUCCAUUUCAUCAUCUCUAAUCUGUCGCACAGUCCGUGGCAUCUUGUGUAUGCUCGAGUCUGUGACGCUCGGAUUCAUUCCUUCGUUCCAUCCCAUCCAUUUUUUUCAUCUUUUAUUUCUGCUUAUUUUUUCUUUUAUGUCGGUGAAACGAAGAUAGGACAACAUUAUAUUCAAGAGUGAUACUUAAAAUGUAUAGGAAAUUUGUUUAUGAGUAAUAAAUUAAAUAUUACUGGAAGGAUUGAAGUACGGUAAAAUACGACACCGAAGACUGCACGACCUUUAAAAUAAUAUCUAUCGUUCUUAGGAGAGACUUUGAGAGAAUAUAUUGUAAUAACAUUAAUUUGUCAUAACAUAAACAGUCCUUACUGUGGUGAAACUCAUCAGACAAAAGACAAAAAUCUUGCCGGCGCUCAAAGAAUUCGGUUUCGUGCUCCUGCGCAUCACGUACAGGAGCAAUCUUUGAGAUUUCACGGCAACGUUUAAAAUUGUCGUCUUACAUCCUGUCGCGUAUUUCUGCGCUAUGAUCUACCAACUUUUGGCCUUCCAGACUAUAACAGAAUAAGUGGACCAGUUGAGAAAAGAAGUAUAACAAGUACUUCAUUAUUUCCGUAAUUUU